rnacentral:rRNA from 1 species
CGUGUAGGCGGCUGGAUCAGUCAGAUGUGAAAUCCCUGGGCUUAACCCAGGACGUGCAUUUGAAACUGUCCAGCUUGAGUAGGGGAGAGGAAAGUGGAAUUCCUGGUGUAGAGGUGAAAUUCGUAGAUAUCAGGAGGAACACCGGUGGCGAAGGCGACUUUCUGGCCCUAUACUGACGCUGAGACGCGAGAGCGUGGGUAGCAAACA